rnacentral:rRNA from 1 species
AUUGAACGCUAGCGGGAUGCUUUACACAUGCAAGUCGAACGAGUGGCGGACGGGUGAGUAAUAUAUCGGAACGUGCCCAGUAGCGGGGGAUAACUACUCGAAAGAGUGGCUAAUAGCGCAUAAUAUUGGAGCGGCCGAUAUUGGAUUAGCUAGUUGGUGGGGUAAAGGCUCACCAAGGCAACGAUCCGUAGCAGGUUUGAGAGGAAGACCGGCCACACUGGGACUGAGACACGGCCCAGACUCCUACGGGAGGCAGCAGUAGGGAAUUUUCGACAAUGGGCGAAAGCCUGACCCAGCCAUGCCGCGUGUGUGAGAAGGCCUUCGGAUUGUAAAGCUCUUUUGUCAGAGAAGCGGUAUCUACCGAGAAAGCAACGGCUAACUACGUGCCAGCAGCCGCGGUAAUUC